rnacentral:rRNA from 1 species
AGCAUAUCAAUAAGCGGAGGAAAAGAAACCAACAGGGAUUGCCCUAGUAACGGCGAGUGAAGCGGCAACAGCUCAAAUUUGAAAUCUGGUCCCUCGGGGCCCGAGUUGUAAUUUGCAGAGGAUGCUUUUGGCGCGGUGCCUUCCGAGUGCCCUGGAACGGGACGCCACAGAGGGUGAGAGCCCCGUAUGGUCGGACACCAAGCCUAUGUAAAGCUCCUUCGACGAGUCGAGUAGUUUGGGAAUGCUGCUCAAAAUGGGAGGUAAACCCCUUCUAAAGCUAAAUACUGGCCAGAGACCGAUAGCGCACAAGUAGAGUGAUCGAAAGAUGAAAAGCACUUUGAAAAGAGAGUUAAAAAGCACGUGAAAUUGUUGAAAGGGAAGCGUUUGCGACCAGACUUGCGCCCGUCGGAUCAGCCGUCCCUCGUGGGCGGUGCACUCCGGCGGGCUCAGGCCAGCAUCAGUUCGCUGCAGGGGGAGAAAGGCGGCGGGAAUGUGGCUCUUCGGAGUGUUAUAGCCCGCCGCGUAAUACCCCUCGGCGGACUGAGGACCGCGCGUAAGCAAGGAUGCUGGCGUAAUGGUCGUCAGCGACCCGUCUUGAAACACGGACCAAGGAGUCGUCCUAAUAUGCGAGUGUUUGGGUGUCAAACCCCAGCGCGUAAUGAAAGUGAACGCAGGUGAGAGCUUCGGCGCAUCAUCGACCGAUCCUGAUGUUCUCGGAUGGAUUUGAGUACGAGCAUAUUGGGCCGGACCCGAAAGAAGGUGAACUAUGCCUGUAUAGGGUGAAGCCAGAGGAAACUCUGGUGGAGGCUCGCAGCGGUUCUGACGUGCAAAUCGAUCGUCAAAUAUGGGCAUGGGGGGCGAAAGACUAAUCGAACCUUCUAGUAGCUGGUUUCCGCCGA